UGGGGAAUAUUGCACGAUGGGCGCAAGCCUGAUGCAGCCAUGCCGCGUGUGUGAAGAAGGCCUUCGGGUUGUAAAGCACUUUCAGCGAGGAGGAAGGGUAGUGUGUUAAUAGCACAUUGCAUUGACGUUACUCGCAGAAGAAGCACCGGCUAACUCCGUGCCAGCAGCCGCGGUAAUACGGAGGGUGCAAGCGUUAAUCGGAAUUACUGGGCGUAAAGCGCACGCAGGCGGUUUGUUAAGUCAGAUGUGAAAUCCCCGCGCUUAACGUGGGAACUGCAUUUGAAACUGGCAAGCUAGAGUCUUGUAGAGGGGGGUAGAAUUCCAGGUGUAGCGGUGAAAUGCGUAGAGAUCUGGAGGAAUACCGGUGGCGAAGGCGGCCCCCUGGACAAAGACUGACGCUCAGGUGCGAAAGCGUGGGGAGCAAAACAGGAUUAGAUACCCUGGUAGUCCACGCUGUAAAACGAUGUCGACUUGGAGGUUGUGCCCUUGAGGCGUGGCUUCCGGAGCUAACGCGUUAAGUCGACCGCCUGGGGGAGUACGGCCGCAAGGUUAAAAC
rnacentral:rRNA from 1 species